AUACGGAGGAUCCGAGCGUUAUCCGGAUCUAUUGGGUUUAAAGGGUGCGCAGGCGGCCAUUUAAGUCAGCGGUUAAAUCGUGGGGCUCAACCCCAUUCUGCCGUUGAUACUGGGUGGCUUGAUUGCGGUCGAGGUUGGCGGAAUUCGUUGUGUAGCGGUGAAAUGCAUAGAUAUGACGAAGAACACCGAUUGCGUAGGCAGCUGACCAGACCGCAAAUGACGCUCAUGCACGAAAGUGCGGGGAUCGAACAGGAUUAGAUACCCUGGUAGUCCGCACAGUAAACGAUGAAUACUUGUUUUCGGCGAUAUAAUGUCGGAGGCAAAGCGAAAGCGAUAAGUAUUCCACCUGGGGAGUACGCCGGCAACGGUGAAACUCAAAUGAAUUGGCGGGG
rnacentral:rRNA from 1 species